UUAAGUUUGUUUCUUUUCGCAUAAGUUAAAAGAAAUAAACAUCUCUCUUUACCAUAAAAAAAAAAAACCCACAUCCCUUAACACUGGGACUGACCUAUAACUCGUUAGAAAAACAUAGAUUAUUUUGAUAUGCAUGUUUGUAUUGCAAAGAAUAAAACAAAUUAUAAAAACGACGAUACCGCAGUGGAAUGGAAAGAAAUGGACCUCUGCAGUGCAGUGAUCUGCCUUACCGUACAUACAUAUAGUACAUAGGGGAUUAACUUUUUUUUUGCUAUUUUAAGAGUUUAAGUAAGCUAAUGACAAAAACUUUCGCUCGAUAAGAAUAAGUUGACGCAGAUCUCGUAAGCGAAAAGGACUUAAACUUAACCGUCCAACAAAAAUAUUAAGUUAAAACCGUGGUUUUGUAGUGAAGCAAAAAAAAAAUUAAAGAAAAAAAGUUUACGCGCCUCUUACUUAACUUAAAUAAAAAGAAAAGCGAUUAGCCAAAAGUUACAUAAGCCGCUCCAUCGAGUUUCAUAAAAUUCUAACUAAUUAUAAAUUAUUAGAAGCUAAAACGUGUAUAAAUACAUAGUUAUACUAUUCUCCUAAUAUCUGUGGGAUAAUAUAAAUCAACCCUUAAAAAAAAAGGGGAAACAACUAAACCAAAUAACAAGACAAGUUGAAAAACUUUAAUAAAGAAAAAAAAAACAAUAAAUACAAAAAAGAGAGUCUCUUCGAAUCAUAAAAAAGGGUGAAAUUCCACUUAAGAUAAUAGCGAGAGAAAGAGCGAGAGAUUCGGACACACAAAGCGUCGACGUCCAAGGCCACGCAGGUGGAGUCGGCUUACUUUAAGCUAAAUUCAAGGCUAACCUCAAUCACAAAAAAAUCUUCAAACGACAAGUACACACGAAACACACUUGAGAAAAAAACCACAGAGAAAUUAAAUCAACAACAAGUAGAGAAAAAAAGAUCAAUCUAGA